CUAUCCUUCAGAUUAUUUACAGAGAGGACAAGUACCUUGGUUUUGAGAAUAGUGCCAUCAGAGAGAUGAACCAUCUUGUAGUAUCCAGACAAUUCGAUAUGAACAACCUUAGACGAAAACCUUAUGGUCCCUUGAGGCAGCUCAUCCGCUAGAGCCUCUAACAGCACCUUCCUCUAAGAAGAAGAAGGAAGAAACAUACUCGGAUUUUGGAAAGAGCAUUUCCUUAGAAGGAUUUCCUGGGGAGAUGUGUCCCACCACCCAUCUGCAUGCGAAGAAGAAGAAGAUCAAAGAUAAAGUUCUCUAGUCACAGAGUUGAUAUGAACAAUACUAGUGUUAGCCUGAUGAUAGAUACCCUUGAAGGAGAUCAUGGAGAUCGCGAACAUGCUGAGACACGCCGAGAGCUUCCAUAGCCUUCCAAGCGUUGAACCAAGUAGUAAAUGCGAAUCCUGUGGCUCUCAGCUUAUCUGAAGAUUCCAGCACCAUGCUUCUAAUCCCAAGCCUGUGUGACACCACUUUGUUUAACUAACACAAAGGAAGGAUAAGCUACUUUCACAAACACAAACCUAUGAAGUCCAACGGCGGUUGAAAGGCCGGAGAUUCCGGCGCCAACGAUGACAAUAUCUAGGGUGCCUUGUUCUUCCAUGGUGAUCUUGAGGAAGCUCUGCGUUUAUUCCUCUGUUGUUUAUAUUUAAAAAAUACAAAAUUGUGGAGGAAGAUGGCAAGUCAAACAAAGGCACCCAGUUCUAGGCAGGCGGCUAUACAGUAAUUAAAAUCGAAUUUUAAUACU